rnacentral:rRNA from 1 species
CCAAGCAUUGUAAGUAACAGAGUGGUUCGAUUCUGGCUCCUGAUUGAACGCUGGUGGAUGUUUCUACACAUGCAAGUCGUAUCGCGGCAAUGGACUUCGGUCUGGUGGCGAGUGGCGAACGGGUGAGUAAUGUAUCGGAACGUGCCCAGUAGCGGGGGAUAACUACGCGAGCGUAGCUAACACGCAUACCGCCCUUCGGGGGAAAGCGGGACUUCCUUCGGGCCUCGCACUAGAGCGGCCGAUAUUGAUUAGCUAGGUUGGUGGGGUAACGGCUCACCAAGGCGACGAUCCGUAGCUGGUUUUGAGAGGACGAAUUUCAGCCACACUGGGACUGAGACACGGCCCAGACUCCUACGGGAGGCAGCAGUGGGGAAUUUUGACAAUGGGGGAAACCCUGAUCCAGCCAUCCCGCGUGUGCGAUGAAGGCCUUCGGGUUGUAAAGACCUUUGCAGGAGAAAGAACGGCACGGGAUAAUGUUCCGUGCAACUGACGGUACCUGCAGAAUAAGCACCGGCUAAUCCACGUGCCAGCAGCCGCGGUAAUACGUAGGGUGCAAGCGUUAAUCGGAAUUACAUUGGGCGUAAAGCGUGCGCAGGCGGUUCGGAAAGAAAGAUGAAAUCCCAGAGCUUAACUUUGGAACUGCAUUUUUAACUACCGAGCUAGAGUGUGUCAGAGGGAGGUGGAAUUCCGCGUGUGUGUAAGUGCGAAAUGCGUAGAUAUGCGAGGAAACACCGAUGCUGAAGGCAGCCUCCCUGGGGAUAACACUGACGCUCAUGCACGAAAGCGUGGGGAGCAAACAGAUUAGAUACUCCGGUAGUCCACGCCCUAAACGAUGUCAACUAGCUGUUGGGGCCUUCGGGCCUUGGUAGCGCAGCUAACGCGUGAAGUUGACCGUCGGGGAGUACGGUCGUGUGAUUAAAACCUCAAAGGAAUGACGACCGCACAAGCGGUGGAUGAUGAUUAAUUCGAUGCAUCGGCAAAACUUACCUACCCUUGACAUGUUCAACCCUGAAGAGAUUUUGGGAGUGCUCGCAAGAGAACCGGCCCGCAGGUGCUGCAUGGCUGUCAGUCAGCUCGUGUCGUGAGAUGUUGGGUUAAGUCCCGCAACGAGCGGCAACCUCUGUCAUUAGUUGCUAACAGUGGCACUUCAUCGAGACUGCCGGUGACAAACCGGAGGAAGGUGGGGAUGCGACGUCAAGUCCUCAUGGCCUGGUGGUAUAGGGUUUUCCACACGUCAUACAAUGGUCGGGACAGAGGGUCGCCAACCCGCGAGGGGGAGCCAAUCCCAGAAACCCGAUCGUAGUCCGGAUCGUGAAGUUCAGAACUGACUGCGUGAAGUCGGAAUCGCUAGUAAUCGCGGAUCACAUGCCUGCGUGCGGGUAUGUUCCCGGCUCCGGCCACACACUCGCCCGUCACACCAUGGGAGUGGGUUUUACCAGAAGUAGUUAGUCAACCGUAAGGAGGGCGAUUACCACGGUAGGAUUCAUGACUGGGGUGAAGUCGUAACAAGGUAA